UGGGGAAUCUUGCACAAUGGGCGAAAGCCUGAUGCAGCGACGCCGCGUGGGGGAUGAAGCAUCUCGGUGUGUAAACCCUUCUACCGCAGAAGCAUCGCAAGAGGACUGACGGUACGGGUAUAAGAAGCCCCGGCUAACUACGUGCCAGCAGCCGCGGUAAGACGUAGGGGCCAGCGUUGUUCGAUUACUGGGUGUAAAGGGUUCGUAGGCGGUGCGGCAAGUUGGGAGUGAAAUCUCUGGGCUCAACCCAGAGGCUGCUUCCAAAACUGCUGUGCUUGAGUGUGGGAGAGGCGCGUGGAAUUGCAGGUGUAGCGGUGAAAUGCGUAGAUAUCUGCAGGAACACCCGUGGCGAAAGCGGCGCGCUGGACCACUACUGACGCUGAGGAACG
rnacentral:rRNA from 1 species